rnacentral:rRNA from 1 species
UACGAGGGGGGCAAGCGUUGUUCGGAAUUACUGGGCGUAAAGGGCUCGUAGGCGGCCAACUAAGUCAGACGUGAAAUCCCUCGGCUUAACCGGGGAACUGCGUCUGAUACUGGAUGGCUUGAGUUUGGGAGAGGGAUGCGGAAUUCCAGGUGUAGCGGUGAAAUGCGUAGAUAUCUGGAGGAACACCGGUGGCGAAGGCGGCAUCCUGGACCAACACUGACGCUGAGGAGCGAAAGCCAGGGGAGCAAACAGG